CGUCUGUAGGAACUCCGAGUUCCUGGGGCCCAGGCUCCCUCCAGAAGUUCCAGCCUUUGUCCGUGGAACCUCUGGUAUGACCCAGGGUCCCCUGAAAGGAGCCACGCUAGUAGCCUGAGUUGCCCUUGCAGCAAUAACGGGUGUGAGUUCCCUUCCGGAUCCAUCAAGAGGUGAGGGUCCGCGGGUAGUAUUCUGGGAAGGUCUAUAGACAUCUCCAUGAGGGAAGGGAACCAUGGCUGUGUUGUCCAGAAUGGUGUUAUUAGGACCAAAGUCGUCCGCGAGCGGUCGAGAUGGACCAGCGUUCAUGCUAGCAGAGCGAACGGUGGGAAUGCAUAGAGUCUCUUCCUCGGCCAUGCCUGGAGGAACGCAUCCGUAGCCACUGCUUCCAGGUCUGGUCUCCAGCUGAAGAACUCUGGUAGGUGUGUAUUCAAACGAGACGCAAACAGAUCCAUGUGCAUCGGGCCCCACAGCGUUUGUAAUCGCAGGAAUACUUUGCGAUUCAGUCACCAAUCGCUGUUGUCCCGCAGGUAUCUUGAAUUCCAAUCCGCCACCGUAUUCGAUAGGCCUGGGAUAUAUUCGUCCCGUACUGAGAUGUUGCGAUCUAGGCAAAACUGCCAGAAUUCCGUGGCUAAAUCCUCCAAAAGUUUGGAUUUGGUGCCGCCUAGGUGGUUGAUGUAUUGUACCGC